rnacentral:rRNA from 1 species
GACGAACGCUGGCGGCGUGCCUAACACAUGCAAGUCGAGCGGGGUGGAGGCGAGAGGUAACUCAAGCUUCUACCUAGCGGCGGACGGGUGAGUAACGCGUGGGCAACCUGCCUCAAGGAUCGGGAUAACAGCUCGAAAGGGCUGCUAAUACCGGAUAUGCCUAUGGCCUCGCAGUGGGGCUGUGGGCAAAGGGGAAACCCGCCUUGAGAUGGGCCCGCGUCCCAUCAGCUAGUUGGUGAGGUGAAGGCUCACCAAGGCGACGACGGGUAGCCGGCCUGAGAGGGUGACCGGCCACACGUGGGACUGAGACACCGGCCCAGACUCCGUACGGGGGGCAGCAGUGGGGGAUCUUGCACAAUGGGCGAAAGCCUGAUGCAGCGACGCCGCGUGAGCGAAGAAGGCCUUCGGGUUGUAAAGCUCUGUCUGGAGGGACGAAGAAAGUGACGGUACCUCCGGAGGAAGCCACGGCUAACUACGUG